ensembl:rRNA 5S_rRNA 5S ribosomal RNA
UUUCAUGGCCAUACUACCCUGAACACACCUGAGCUUGUCUGAUCUUGAAAGCUAAGCAGAGUCAGGCCUCGUUAGUACUUGGAUGGGAGACAACACCUGGAUCUUGAACUUUCAGCCUCUGUUACUGUGAAGA